UACGUAGGGUGCGAGCGUUAAUCGGAUUUACUGGGCGUAAAGAGUGCGCAGGCGGCCCGUUAAGACAGGUGUGAAAUCCCUGGGCUCAACCUAGGAAUUGCGCUUGUGACUGGCGGGCUCGAGUACGGUAGAGGGGGGUGGAAUUCCUGGUGUAGCAGUGAAAUGCGUAGAGAUCAGGAGGAACACCGAUGGCGAAGGCAGCCCCCUGGGCCUGUACUGACGCUCAUGCACGAAAGCGUGGGGAGCAAACAGG
rnacentral:rRNA from 1 species